CCGCCACUGCCGCCCGGCCGGCUCGUGCUCGUAUUUAAAUGAGAGCAUUACUCUCAUUUUCUUCCAAACAACUAGCUUAAGAACAAGGGAAUAUAUAAAAACAACAAACACUCUUUUGAUUUCCAAUGUGGGACUAAACAUCACAUAUAGAAAUUUUAGUUGGGCUCCCAAGCGGCCCAUUAAUAAUUAUUGGACUCUCAAGAGGCCUUAACAAAUUUUAAAUCAUAACAAACCGAAUAAAAUUCAAUAGAAUUAAUGUUCAUGUAAGGGCUAUAUAAGCUGUUUUUUUUUCCUUCUCAUAUUUAAAAUUACCCAUUAUGUUCUUCGAUAGGAUUUUUUUUUUUUUUUUUUGAGAAAUAGAUAGCAUGCUACCCGCUUUAUUUAUUUCAUUUAGAAAUAAACUUAGCUGAAAAUGUGAAUCAACUAGGGUUCGAACUUGUGACCUCGGUUACCAAUCACCAAGCCUUUUACCACUUAAUCUAGGACAGUCGGUGUUCUUAGAUAGAAAUUAUCGCGGUAAUAUGUAGGCGA
rnacentral:lncRNA from 1 species